rnacentral:rRNA from 1 species
GAUGAACGCUGGCGGCGUGCCUAAUACAUGCAAGUCGAGCGAACGGACGAGAAGCUUGCUUCUCUGAUGUUAGCGGCGGACGGGUGAGUAACACGUGGAUAACCUACCUAUAAGACUGGGAUAACUUCGGGAAACCGGAGCUAAUACCGGAUGAUAUUUUGAUCCGCAUGGUUCAAAAGUGAAAGACGGUCUUGCUGUCACUUAUAGAUGGAUCCGCGCUGCAUUAGCUAGUUGGUAAGGUAACGGCUUACCAAGGCAACGAUGCAUAGCCGACCUGAGAGGGUGAUCGGCCACACUGGAACUGAGACACGGUCCAGACUCCUACGGGAGGCAGCAGUAGGGAAUCUUCCGCAAUGGGCGAAAGCCUGACGGAGCAACGCCGCGUGAGUGAUGAAGGUCUUCGGAUCGUAAAACUCUGUUAUUAGGGAAGAACAUAUGUGUAAGUAACUGUGCACAUCUUGACGGUACCUAAUCAGAAAGCCACGGCUAACUACGUG